rnacentral:rRNA from 1 species
AGAGUUUGAUCCUGGCUCAGGAUGAACGCUGGCGGUAUGCGUAACACAUGCAAGUCGAACGAAGUUUUUCGGAACUUAGUGGCGGACGGGUGAGUAACGCGUGAGAAUCUGCCUUAAGGAUUGGGACAACAGUGGGAAACCGCUGCUAAUACCAAAUAUGCCUUUUAGUGAAACGGGUAAAACCGCCUUAAGAUGAGCUCGCGUCUGAUUAGCUAGUUGGUGUGGUAAGAGCGCACCAAGGCAACGAUCAGUAGCUGGUCUGAGAGGACGACCAGCCACACUGGGACUGAGACACGGCCCAGACUCCUACGGGAGGCAGCAGUGAGGAAUUUUCCGCAAUGGGCGAAAGCCUGACGGAGCAAUACCGCGUGAGGGAGGAAGGUUCUUGGAUUGUAAACCUCUUUUCUCAGAGAAGAAUAAUGACGGUAUCUGAGGAAUAAGCAUCGGCUAACUCCGUGCCAGCAGCCGCGGUAAUACGGAGGAUGCAAGCGUUAUCCGGAAUGAUUGGGCGUAAAGGGUCUGUAGGUGGUUGUUCAAGUCUGCUGUUAAAGCGUCUGGCUUAACCAGAUAAAGGCGGUGGAAACUGAACGACUAGAGUGCGGUAGGGGUAGAGGGAAUUCCCAGUGUAGCGGUGAAAUGCGUAGAUCUUGGGAAGAACACCUGUGGCGAAAGCGCUCUGCUGGACCUUAACUGACACUGAGGGACGAAAGCUAGGGGAGCGAAUGGGAUUAGAUACCCCCGUAGUCC